UUGUUUUCAGUGUUUAGAUAUAUUCUUUAUUAUAUAUUCUUUAUUAUAUAAUGUAUUUAAAAUAUUUUUAAAUUGAAUGAAUAUUCUUAGAUCAUGAGUUAUGUGAUAAAUUUGAAUUUGCCACUACUAGGGAUACUCAGAUAGAAUGAGAUUCAGAAAACGGAGCCACUACCAUGCUUAUGCAAGAGAAAACAUAAUAACCAACUGAAUAGUCAGCAAGUACCUACUCCUGUAAC